rnacentral:rRNA from 1 species
GAUGAACGCUGGCGGCGUGCCUAAUACAUGCAAGUCGAGCGAAUGGAUUAAGAGCUUGCUCUUAUGAAGUUAGCGGCGGACGGGUGAGUAACACGUGGGUAACCUGCCCAUAAGACUGGGAUAACUCCGGGAAACCGGGGCCAAUACCGGAUAACAUUUUGCACCGCAUGCUUCGAAAUUGAAAGGCGGCUUCUGCUGUCACUUAUGGAUGGACGCGCGUGGCAUUAGCUCGUUGGUGAGGUAACGGCUCACCAAGGCAACGAUGCGUAGCCGACCUGAGAGGGUGAUCGGCCACACUGGGACUGGGACACGGCCCAGACUCCUACGGGAGGCAGCAGUAGGGAAUCUUCCGCAAUGGACGAAAGUCUGACGGAGCAACGCCGCGUGAGUGAUGGAGGCUUUCGGGUCGUAAAACUCUGUUGUUAGGGAAGAACAAGUGCUAGUUGAAUAAGCUGGCACCUUGACGGUACCUAACCAGAAAGCCACGGCUAACUACGUGCCAGCCGCCGCAGUAA